CUAGAUGCUCGGGGCCGCACGCGCGCUACACUGAAGGAAUCAGCGUGUGCUCUCCCGGUCCGGCAGGACUGGGUAACCCGCUGAACCUCCUUCGUGAUAGGGACAGGGGUUUGUAACUAUCCCCCUCGAACGAGGAAUGCCUAGUAGGCGCGAGUCAUCAACUCGCGUCGACUCGGUCCCUGCCCUUUGUGCACACCGCCCGUCGCUACUACCGAUUGAAUGAUUUAGUGAGGUCUUCGGACUGGCGCCCGAGCCUUGUCUCCGGACGACGGGUCGCGGUGCCGGAAAGAUGCCCGAACUUGACCAUUUAGAGGAAGUAAAAGUCGUAACAAGGUGGUC
rnacentral:rRNA from 1 species